GUACGGUUGAAUAUUCGUUUAUGAUAAAAUAAAACAAAGAAGUCUUUUACUCGGAAUUUUUUUCUGCUCCAUCGUUUUUAUUCAUUUUUAAUGUAAAUGUUCAAAUACUUAAAAAAAACAAUAUGUGGGGAAAACAAUUGCUCAAUUCAUCGUGUAGGAAUUCAAUGCAUUCAUGAUAUUAGUAGUAUUUUAAAAGUGCAGAGCAACAUAUGUUUUGCGUUGUUGGUUUACAUCGUUACCAAUAUAUACGUGCCAUCUUUUAAAUUUCGGUGAACUACCAAUAAAAUUAUACAAAACUAUCAACCAAUCACGUAACCUCUUUUUUUAAUUUUGGUGAACUACCGAUGAAAUUAAUCAAAAUCAUCAACCAAUCACGUACCCUCUUUUAAAUUUUGGUAUACCAACAAUGAAAUUAUUCAACAAUCAAGACUUAAUGGUUUCUUAUCUGAUUCAGUCAAAUGUUGGUAUUUUAAGGGUUUACUUUGUGGAAGUAUUUAUAAAAAUUGCUAUCAUCUGUGGAACUUCAAAAUGCAAUACGCUGUUGACGUGUUUAUUUUAAGUAUUAAUUCACAUUUAUUGAUUUUUGUUAAUCAAUAAAAUAUAUACCAAUGUAUUUCAGUAUAAAGAUUUUGCUUUUUCAUUUCAUUCCCUUUAUACAGAAAAUACAACUACGGAGGAACCAUUAACCACUGAUCAUACAUAUUCUAAGGAGAUAACAAUAACACCGACCACGACCGAAAACCAUUUCUCAUCGAUACGGGCAUCCGCACUUUUUACAACGACGACGACACAAAAGACGACUCCGUCUGCUACUCCAUCACCCACACCCUGCAUUGGUGGGGGAUUAAACAGAACUGAUGCCAGACUUCACGAAGAAUGCGGUGCACACAGUGAAGAAGCUAAAUGUAUUGUUUCAAACAGUGCAUGUACUGAAACAUCUAUAGCUAGCACUUGGAGAUGCCGAUGUGUCCAGGGAUAUGCAAAGAAGAAUGAUUCAUGUCUGCAAUUGCCUACUAAAUUAUUCCGCCAAGAGUUUGAAAAAGUGCUCAUAAAUCUUCCUGAAAGCAGUCCAAUAGGCCAUCAAGUUUUAAUAGCAUACUUUACAGAGGUUGAUGGUUUUCAUAAAAUUACACCAACAGCUGAAAUUAUGGGACCCGGUUCAGACAGUUUUUCACCAAGCACUGCUAAUACAGCGAAUGUCGGCAUAACAGUGAGCAGCUCAACACUUUCUAAAUCAAAAUACGACAUUUUUGUAGUAGUGUCUGUUACUGUUGACGGUAUUGUGAUACGUGAUUUUAUACAUGUCGCCAUUACCAUUACUAGAAACA